rnacentral:rRNA from 1 species
CCUACGGGAGGCUGCAGUGAGGAAUAUUGGUCAAUGGGCGGAGGUCUGAACCAGCCAAGCCGCGUGCGGGAAGACUGCUCUAUGGGUUGUAAACUUCUUUUGUAAGAGAGGAAUCCUGACUACGUGUAUUCAGCUGCCCGUACUUUAUGAAUAAGGAUCGGCUAACUCCGUGCCAGCAGCCGCGGUAAUACGGAGGAUCCAAGCGUUAUCCGGAUUUAUUGGGUUUAAAGGGUGCGUAGGCGGAUUGAUAAGUUAGUGGGUAAAUGUCCGAGCUUCAACCUGGAUUUGCCUUUAAUACUGGAGUUCUAGAGUGCAGACGAGGUAGGCGGAAUGAAUGGAGUAGCGGUGAAAUGCUUAGAGAUAACACAGAACCCCGAUUGCGAAGGCAGCUUACCAAUCUAUUUCUGACGCUGAGGCACGAGAGCGUGGGUAGCGAACAGGAUUAGAUACCCCUGUAGUC